GAUGAACGCUAGCGGCAGGCUUAAUACAUGCAAGUCGAACGGUAAGGUCUCUUCGGAGAUACACGAGUGGCGCACGGGUGCGUAACGCGUAUGCAACCUACCUUUAACUGGGAAAUAGCCCCGAGAAAUCGGGAUUAAUGUCCCAUAUUAUUCUGAGGAUACCUAUCCUUAGAAUGAAAGCUCCGGCGGUUAUUGAUGGGCAUGCGUGAUAUUAGCUAGUUGGUGAGGUAACGGCUCACCAAGGCAACGAUGUUUAGGGGUCCUGAGAGGGUUAUCCCCCACACUGGUACUGAGACACGGACCAGACUCCUACGGGAGGCAGCAGUAAGGAAUAUUGGCAAUGGACGCAAGUCUGACCCAGCCAUGCCGCGUGAAGGAUGAAUGUCCUAUGGAUUGUAAACUUCUUUUAUGCAGGAAAAAUAUCCCGGUCGUGAACCGGGACUGAUGGUACUGUAUGAAUAAGCAUCGGCUAACUCCGUGCCAGCCGCCGCAGUAA
rnacentral:rRNA from 1 species